rnacentral:piRNA from 1 species
UUUCAAAUCGUAAGCUCAAGU